UUGCUAGAUCGUAACUGACGUUGAGGCUCGAAAGUAUGGGUAGCAAACGGGAUUAGAUACCCCGGUAGUCCAUACCGUAAACGAUGGGUGCUAGUUGUUAAGAGGUUUCCGCCUCCUAGUGACGUAGCAAACGCAUUAAGCACCCCGCCUGAGGAGUACGGCCGCAAGGCUAAAACCUAAAGGAAUUGACGGGGACCCGCACAAGCGGUGGAGCAUGUGGUUUAAUUCGAAGAUACGCGAAAAACCUUACCAGGUCUUGACAUACCAAUGAUCGCUUUUGUAAUGAAAGCUUUUCUUCGGAACAUUGGAUACAGGUGGUGCAUGGUCGUCGUCAGUUCGUGUCGUGAGAUGUUGGGUUAAGUCCCGCAACGAGCGCAACCCUUGUUAUUAGUUGCCAGCAUUUAGUUGGGCACUCUAAUGAGACUGCCGGUGAUAAACCGGAGGAAGGUGGGGACGACGUCAGAUCAUCAUGCCCCUUAUGACCUGGGCAACACACGUGCUACAAUGGGAAGUACAACGAGUCGCAAACCGGCGACGGUAAGCUAAUCUCUUAAAACUUCUCUCAGUUCGGACUGGAGUCUGCAACUCGACUCCACGAAGGCGGAAUCGCUAGUAAUCGCGAAUCAGCAUGUCGCGGUGAAUACGUUCCCGGGUCUUGUACACACCGCCCGUCAAAUCAUGGGAGUCGGAAGUACCCAAAGUCGCUUGGCUAACUUUUAGAGGCCGGUGCCUAAGGUAAAAUCGAUGACUGGGAUUAAGUCGUAACAAGGUAGCCGUAGGAGAACCUGCGGCUGGAUCACCUCCUUUCUAAGGA
rnacentral:rRNA from 1 species